rnacentral:ncRNA from 2 species
GGACGAACCCUUGGAGAGAGCUGUGUAAGUGCAGCCGCCGAAGGCGCAAAAGAGCGGUGAGUUUUUGCCGUUUUUCAAACGCUCAGGCAAAAGGACAGGGGCAGAAGA